rnacentral:lncRNA from 1 species
AGUGUCUCUAGGAGGUGAACUACUGUAACAGUUCAGUGUGUUAUAGUGUCUCUAUCCUGUUGGUGAACUACUGUAACAGUACAGUGUGUUAUAGUGUCACUAGGAGGUGAAACACUGUAACAGUUCAGUGUGUUAUAGUGUCUCUAGGAGGUGAACUACUGUAACAGUUCAGUGUGUUAUAGUGUCUCUAUGCGGUGAACUACUGUAACAGUUCAGUGUGUUAUAGUGUCUCUAGGAGAUGUACUACUGUAACAGUUCAGUGUGUUCUAGUGUCUCUCUCUAUGUAGUGAACUACUGUAACAGUUCAGUGUGUUCUAGUGUCU